GACGAACGCUGGCGGCGCGCCUAACACAUGCAAGUCGAACGGAGCUGAGAGAAGCUUGCUUUUCUUAGCUUAGUGGCGAACGGGUGAGUAACGCGUGAGUAACCUGCCCUGGAGUGGGGGACAACAGUGGGAAACGACUGCUAAUACCGCAUAAGCCCACGAUCCGGCAUCGGAUUGAGGGAAAAGGAUUUAUUCGCUUCAGGAUGGACUCGCGUCCAAUUAGCUAGUUGGUGAGGUAACGGCCCACCAAGGCGACGAUUGGUAGCCGGACUGGGAGGUGGAAACGCCACAGUGGGGAUGCGGCCCGGCCCCGAACGCUACGGGGGGGUGGGGUGGGGGAUAUUGCACAAUGGGGGAAACCCUGAUGACGCGACGCCGGGUGGAGGAAGAAGGUUUUCGGAUUGUAAACUCCUGUCGUUAGGGACGAUAAUGACGGUACCUAACAAGAAAGCACCGGCUAACUACGUG
rnacentral:rRNA from 1 species